UACAAGUAGAUGUGUACAUACACCUGAAGCUGCUCAGAUUGGUCCAUAUUCUUGAUUGCCAUAUCAACAAGACCAAUCCUUGUCUGCAGUCAAUCUUGUAGUCUGAAGACCAGGCAAGAAAGCUCAAGAGUCAAAUAUCCACCAGCCAGAAAGAUGAAAAGGCCAUACAUGCUAAGAAACGCGCAUUCAGAGAAAAAAGAAGAAC
rnacentral:lncRNA from 1 species